rnacentral:tRNA from 1 species
GGGGUUACAGCUCGAUGGCAGAGUGUGUGCUUAGCACGCACAAGAUCCUGGGUUCAAUCCCCAGUACUUCCA